GUCUUCUCCGUUUCAAAGCUUCUUCUCCGUUCUCUCCAUCGUCUGUUCAUUGUAGUACUAGAGUAAGCUUCUUCUCCGUCGCUGUUUCAAAGCCUCUUCUCCAUCGUCUUCUCCGUUUCAAAGCUUCUUCUCCGUCGUCUUCUCCAUUCUCUCCAUCGUCUGUUCAUUGUAGUACUAGAGUUGCAAAGUUUGUGGUUUUAUAGGUUCUCAAAGGCCAAGGCAACUACAUAUUUUGCAAAGUUGUCAAAUGUUUGGAUUUUAGAAGAUUUAUGUGGUAACUCUUCUUGAUUAAGUGAAGGUUUUGAUUCAAUUGUGUUUUAAAUGGAUUUAACGUCCACUUCAUCUGGAAUUGGUGAUAUUCAUUCGACUGAAGCAUCUGGAAGUGAACCAUUGACUUCAUCUGAUAGUUCUCAAUGUUGCCACCAUGACAUUAAGAAAUCAUGGGACACUUUUGAAGUAGAAGAAAUAGUCACAAGAAAGGGGGGGUUUUGAAUUGUGACCCUUUUAAAAUUAAUCCUGCACACUACAAAAUUGAUCUCAAGUGUAUACUUGGAUGAACGUUAGUGAAUGAUAAAACAGAUUGUUCUGAGAAUGUUCUUCACUGCGUGAGAGUUCAAAUUAAAUGUAAAUAAAGUGGUAUGUGUGAUGUGUGUUUACAGUAAAUAAAGAGUUAAAGGUAAGAGAG